AUUGAACGCUGGCGGCAGGCCUAACACAUGCAAGUCGAACGAGUGGCGGACGGGUGAGUAAUGUCUGGGAAACUGCCUGAUGGAGGGGGAUAACUACUGGAAACGGUAGCUAAUACCGCAUACCCUCGGAUGUGCCCAGAUGGGAUUAGCUAGUAGGUGGGGUAAAGGCUCACCUAGGCGACGAUCCCUAGCUGGUCUGAGAGGAUGACCAGCCAGCCUGGAACUGAGACAGGGUCCAGACUCCUACGGGAGGCAGUAUUGGGGAAUAUUGCACAAGGGGCGCAAGCCGGAUGCAGCCAUGCCGCGUGUAUGAAGCAGGCCUUCGGGUUGUAAAGUACUUUCAGCGGGGAGGCGUUACUCGCAGAAGAAGCACCGGCUAACUCCGCGCCAGCAGCCGCGGUAAUAC
rnacentral:rRNA from 1 species